rnacentral:rRNA from 1 species
UACGUAGGGGGCAAGCGUUGUCCGGAUUUAUUGGGCGUAAAGAGCGUGUAGGCGGCCUGACAGGUCUGCUGUGAAAACUCGAGGCUCAACCUCCAGCUGUCGACGGAAACCGUGUGGCUAGAGUCCGGAAGAGGAGAGUGGAAUUCCUGGUGUAGCGGUGAAAUGCGCAGAUAUCAGGAAGAACACCAAUGGCGAAGGCAGCUCUCUGGGACGGUACUGACGCUGAGACGCGAAAGCGUGGGGAGCGAACAGG